GAUAUAAAUAAUACUUGAAUAACCUUUUCAUAAGAUUGCUAAAGAUAACCUCAAAAGAAAAUACAACUUUUUUGCAAAGUUUAACAAUAAAUUAUAUUACAAUUUUAAAUUAACAUCAAAUUUUGAGCUACACACAUCUUAGUAAUUAAAUCUGUAUGGUGUUAUCCGUUUUUACUUUAAGGUGAUUUAUACUUCGUGUUUAUUACAAAUUUUUGCAGUCAUCAUAGAGAACAUACAGAAUUAACAUUUAAGUUUGGAACAUUAGUUCAAAUGCCUGAUUACUCAGCCAAGGGAUGCAGAAACAAGUCAAAGAGUGGUAAGAAAAUGUAUUAUCUUCCAAACGAUCCCAAACGAAGAGAGUAAUUGCGAAUUAAUUGCGUAACUCUUGGUGGAAAAUAGAAUGCCAUAGUUGUACACACAGGUCUGUUAACUGCUGUAAAGGAGAUAAGGUUCUUAAUGUCGCAAGAUGUACUUUACCAAUCGGCCACCAUUGAACACUGCGAUCGAGUAGCUAGGAUUUUGUGUUUGGCGCCAUUCUUCGGUGAAAGCACUAAAAAUACAUCUACAAUACUCCAUUUAUUACAGAAAGCAUUGUUUAAAUGAAUAUUAAUUAUGAACCAUUAUUAAACAUGCAUUAUUAUUACUAACAAACAAGUUUAACAAGACCACAAUUUUCAAAUUAAAUAUGUACACAUAUCUUUAGUGCUUUUAUAUUUGACGCGUAUAUUGGAAAGUAAGUUUGUUUUUAGUUUUUUCUUAAUUUAUUAAAAAAUUGUGUAACUAUUAACAUUACCUAUAACAUACGUAAAUAGUGUCAUAUUUAAAAUAUUACCCAUGAUUAAAAAUUUUCAAUGUUAUUAAAUUCUUUAUUGAGGAAGCUAAAUUAUAAUAUAAUUAUAGAGUUUACAAAGGAUUUUAAUAAUGAAAAAAUAUUUAUUUUAUAUAACAUUUAUUAGACAUUAGUUAGAUAUAAAAUAAGAAUAAUAUAAUCAUAAUAAUCAUAUAUCUAAGAUAAAAGUUGAUCUCUAUGAUCAUUAACAUGGUGUUGCUUUUUCCUCACACCCUCCUGCUACACGCUUCGAAGCAGAACAUACAGCGAGUAGAUAUUACGGAAUCAGAUCCAACAGCAAACAAUACAAUAUGUAUAGAACUCUAAUCAUGGAAACACCAACACCUUUGGUAGCCGAAGUUAUGCACAAAUGUAGCAGUAUAUGCACCACUGCGAACAGGCAGUACAUUGACAGAGAUUAUAGAAGUAGCAUUGGCAACUACUACUUAUGAACCAAAUAACAGGCAAACAAAAAUAAUUCCGCAAGACUUUCUUGACAAAAUCAGAGGGAAAAAGGUAAGCGAAAGCAAAAUGACAAAAACAUAGAGCACGUGAAAGCAAAAAAACAUCUAAACAAACUUGCAAAGGAAAUAGAAAGUAAAAUAAAAGAUCAUAAUAAUAACGAAUUCUCAAAAUUCAUAGAUUCACUUUCUGCGUACGAGAAUUCCAACUAUUUCGUAUGGAAAGCCACGAACAAAAUAAAGGAGCCAAUUAAACUAAUCCCAGCAAUCAGAUUAACGGACAACACAUGAGCCAGAAGCAACGAAGAGCAAGCUGAAGAAUUUUCCAACCACCUUUGUUGAAGUUAUCUCUUCGAGGAACGCGUGAUGAAUGUGUAACAGAAAUAUAUUUAAGUAUAAGUGUAACUCGUUACAUUACAACAGAGCUUCGAAGCCAUGAGUCUAUGGGUAUUUAUAUAAUUACGAAAACUGGCCCGUCUAUAUAUACCCUGCUGCACCAUCUGUGCAUGGCAUAUUCCUGAAAAAGGCUAUGAGACUGAGAGGCCCUUCAAAUUGAUUUAGAGCUAAACAAUACUCAAUAGCAUUGAGGACUAAGAGAACUAAACGCUAGAGAAGAUGUAGUUUUCCUAGAAACCUAAUUUUUGUCGUAAAUAUUGAAAUCUUGGUUUCGGUAACGCCUUCGUAAAUAUAUCUGCUUGUUACGUCCGGCGACUCUCUACACAAAGCAGACUCCACGCCACAACCAUACCGUCGACCGAUGGGUCCGCGGUAGAAAACGGUAACAAGGAAGGAUGGCCGCAGGAAAUCCCUGACUCCUAAAGCCGCAAGCAAGGAGGUUGGAGCGGAGGAAGCGGCGAUUGAAGCCAUGAACUUAGGUGAUUAAGAUUAAGGGUGCGCACCCUCCAGAACAAUCUGGGACAGUCAAGACCUGCUUUUCCAAACCAUGGAGAGCACGGUUGCCCUAGCGGUGGUGGCCGAGCUAUACAGAGUCCUGGACACUUCGGACUGCGCCGGAGAUACAGACGGCUGUCACCUGGACAUCAGCGCCGGCAUCGUCCGCCCACAGGGAUCCGCUGGAGCGCGGCAACGGAUACGCAGCGGUCGAAUGGUCAGGAAUGGUGGUAGUGGCCGUAUAUGUGUCGCCCAACAGCGAUUGGACAGCGUUCGGGGAGUUCUUGGACGGGGUAGGCGACUGCCAUUACAAUUACGAGAUAUAGUAUUACGUUAUAAUACAUUACAUUAUAACGUAUUCCGUUAAAUUGAAUUACGUUAUAUCAUAUUACGUUUUGCCGUUCCUUCACAUACUGAGCAGAAGGCGAACGUUACCAUGAUCGCGGACGGAUAUUAAGACAGGCAGAGUGGGGAUAUGGUAAGAAUAGAAAGGGAGGCAAGUGGAUCAACACAGCAGUUGCCCGUAACCAGUCGUCAGUAGGAAUCGCAACCAGAGAGUUCUGAAGAAGUCGCUGGUCAAGAAAGUAAACGAACUGCGGAACGAAGCGCCGCGUAUUAAGUUGGCAGCCUUCACGUAAUAGAGUACAUUCAGUAAUAUAGUAUUACGUUAUAUAGUAUAACGCUAUAACGCAUUGCGUUAUAUAGUAUAAGUAAAAUCCAAUGCAACCACAGCUAUCAAUAUUGAAGAUUAAAUAUGUAAUUGAACGAAUCUCCGCUUCUAUUGAGGAUAUGUAGACAAUUCGAUGCGCGUUAUACUCCACGUUUGAUGCCAAAUACAACACACAUCAUCUGGUUUGCGCUAUGUUCACUCUUUUCCUGUCAAAUCCGAUGCAAUUAUAAUUUUUAAUGCUCAAGGCUAAAUAUUCAAUUCUACGAAUCUCCGCUGCUAUUGGACAAAUUUCGACAAUUCGAUACGCGUUGCACUCCACAUUUGCUGCUUUACACAGCGCACAUCAGUCGGUUUGCACUAUGUCAUCUCUUUUACCUGUCAAAUCCGAUGCAGUUAGAAUUUUUAAUGCUCAAGGCUAAAUAUUGAAUUCUACGAAUCUCCGCUGCUACUCAGGAUACAUAGGCAGCUCGAUGCGCGUUGUACUCCACAUUGGCUGCUUUAUACAGCGCACUUCAGUCGGUUUGCACUAUGUCAUCUCUUUUCCCUGUCUAAUCCAAU